rnacentral:tmRNA from 1 species
GGGGAUGACGUGGUCUCGACGGGGACGAGGAUGGUCAAGACUGCAUACCGUGCUCUCCGCGUUGCACGCUAAUAAAGCGGAAAACAAUAAGUGCAGACUACAACUACGCACUGGCUGCCUAACUAAAAAAAGCAGCCCGUCUCCAGGAGCUUCUCCUGUCGUGCUCCAAAGAGGCGCCGACUCUUGGCAGGAUAGCCGGAUAUCUCCUCAAAGGUGUCUGGCGAAUCCCGCGAAAGCGGGGAACGUUUGAGGUUGCUUUGCUAGCGCCCUGUCUGCCGGAUGUAGCUGAGCGAGGAGUGAAAGACAGACUACGUAUGUAGUGGUCCUGAUGGUCUUCUCUUCGGACGCGGGUUCGACUCCCGCCAUCUCCACAA